GGGGUUAAUUGCGAAGGCUUUCUUCCUCCCGUUCGGUUGCUGCAGGGCUUUUUUGCGAGGGGAAACGUUCAAGACACAACGUGAUGUGGCUGGACCAGGAGAACCACGACUUUCUUUUAACUGCCACAGCUCAGGUAAGCAAAGGAGGACAGUUUUCAAAGUGGGGUCUGUUCGUGCAGCAGCCGCCCCAGAAGCGCGCAGUCCUGAUUGCCACGCCAGCAGCAGGAGCCCCGUGCUCAGCCCCGCACAGCUCAGCCCCAGGUCUCCGACCCACUUUUCUGAGCCAUCUUUAUUUGCCAGAAAUGGAGAUUAAACGGCAAGAUUUCUCCUAUUCAUUUUCUACAAACCUUCCUCCUUGUGCUUUAUUGAUAUAAAUUACAGGAAAAUCAAUCACCGUGCUGUCAGCUGAGUAUUUAUUUCUCUCUAGCUGGUGGAGCGCAGAUUCACUCCAGGUACCGUGGCUCUGCCCUGCACUCUCACGAUCAGUGGAUAACGCAUUUUUCAGUCCUCUUACCUCCAGCCUCCAGCUGCAUGGACCGGGUAACACAAACCACACUGAGCCGGGCAGCGCAGUGCCGCAGCACGUGCUGCCGCGGCGCUGGGGAAGUGGUGGUGGAAGCACAUUAAAUAAAGGACGGAGUCGUUCCCUGCCCUCCA
rnacentral:lncRNA from 1 species